GAUAUGAACGUAUGCUUAAGUAAUAUAGCAAAUAUCCAUUACUUUCCCUAUUAAAACAAAGAAAGAAAAUACAUUUAUUUACGUCACACUAAAUUAUUUUGUUAAUUUUCAAUGCAAAUAAAUUUUGAGAUAUGAAUGGCAGUCAUAUCAGUGUAUUCAUGGUGAGUAUGAGCGUAGCACUAACAUACAGCGCCCCUCAAAGAAAAUGCAUCUCUCGAAGACCGGGUUCAAACACCGAUGAGUCCGGUAGAAUAGUUCUAAAAAAUAAUAAAAACACAAAUAACAUUGGAAAUAACCGGAAUAUCAAUAAUCAAGGGUAUAACAAAAAUCGUGGAAAUAACAAUGGGAAUAACAAUUACCUGACUCUUAAUAGGCUAUCACAAUCAACCAUCCGUCCAAGAAAAAGGUGUUGCCCUUAUGAUUUUGACAGCGAAAAGUGUAUAUUCGUGAAUGACAGGAAGGUGUGUGGGUACGAUUUGAACAGUGGAGGUCCAGAGGCGAACCCUGCAGAACUUACUUUAGAUGUGGGCAACGGUUGUAUGUUUCGCCGUGGACGACUCGAGUGUGGGUACAUGGAAGCACCCUUUGAUGGUAUCCGUAGACCGCCCGUAUACGACAGGACAGAAGCUCCUGACCAAGAAAGUGACAAUGAGACAAACGACGAUCAAGAUGAUGAUAUUAAGGAGAGACUUGUAUAUUCGCGUCCUGCGAAACCAAAAACAAAAACAACACUGCCAAGCUGCGUACAGAUAAGAAAAAAGAUAGUGUGUAGUAUGAUUAGUACGAAUAAAUUGUAGACGUGUUUUAAUGUACUUCCUUUCUUAGC